rnacentral:rRNA from 1 species
GACGAACGCUGGCGGCGUGCUUAACACAUGCAAGUCGAACGGAAAGGCCCUGCUUGCAGGGUGCUCGAGUGGCGAACGGGUGAGUAACACGUGGGUGAUCUGCCCCUUAUUUUGGGAUAAGCCUGGGAAACUGGGUCUAAUACUGGAUAGGACCAUGCUGUAGGUGGUGUGGUGGAAAGAUUAGUUUCGGUAAGGGAUGAGCGCGCGGCCUAUCAGCUUGUUGGUGGGGUAAUGGCCUACCAAGGCGUCGACGGGUAGCCGGCCUGAGAGGGUGGACGGCCACAUUGGGACUGAGAUACGGCCCAGAGUCCUACGGGAGGCAGCAGUGGGGAAUAUUGCACAAUGGGCGCAAGCCUGAUGCAGCGACGCCGCGUGGGGGAUGACGGCCUUCGGGUUGUAAACUCCUUUCAGCCAUGACGAAGCCCUUGUGGUGACGGUAGUGGUAGAAGAAGCACCGGCUAACUACGUG